UGAAAAAUAAACACCAAACGGUUCAAGCUUCCUUCAACUUCUUUGUUCUAUUGCCCUAUAAUCUUCACUUUCCCCAAAUCUAUGUUAAUGGCACGGGCUUCUUCCAAAUUUGCUGUUAUAAACCAAAAGCCAACUCGGCAGACGUGUCUUCCACUAAUGGAGAUGAAAAGGUCUCGGAAAUUCUGUACCUCGUUGAAGGCGAUUCGUCUAAAGAGCUCUGAAACUCGGGGAACAAGAUCAUUGGAAAAAGAGGAAGCUUUAUUAGGGAAGAAGACUAAACAAACGCCGUUGGGUACAUUUAAGGUUUUGAGUUAUAAUGUCUGUUUUUGGGACUUAGAAUUGCGCGAGAGGAUGGAAGCAAUUGGUGAUCUCAUUCAACUACAUUCGCCUGAUGUUGUAUGUUUACAAGAGGUUACACAAGAAAUGUACCACAUUUUCAAACAGUCCACCUGGUGGUGGAAAGCAUAUCGAUGUUCGGCUUCAUAUGAUUUCGAGAAUGUCAAACCUUAUUUCUGUAUGCAGUUGAGCAAAUUAACAGUAAAAUCUUAUAGCUGUACACCCUUCAGCAACUCUAAAAUGGGGAGAGAGUUAUGUUUGACUGAGAUUCAAGUUGGUGGUGGAAGGAGCAAGCAAUUGGUCAUUGCUACUAGCCAUCUUGAAAGCCCUUGUCCUGCCCCACCAACAUGGACUCAGAUGUACAGCAAAGAACGCGUAGCUCAAGCAAAAGAAGCCAUGUCGAUUCUGAAGGGUUGGCCAAAUGUCAUAUUUUGUGGCGACAUUAACUGGGAUGAGAAGAAGGAUGGUCCGUUUCCAUUGCCUGAAGGAUGGGUCGAUGCUUGGACAGAGCUGAAGCCUGGAGAUAGCGGAUACACCUACGAUACCAAGUCAAAUCAGAUGAUAUCUGCCAAUUGGCCACUGAGGAUGCGAUUAGAUCCGUUUGUUUGCAAUUUUCAAGAUUUUAAAAUAUGUGAGAUUGAAAUGAUUGGAAUGGAAGCAAUACCAGGCCUUUCAUAUCGUAAGGAGAAGAAAUUAAGGGGUCAGUUGCAAGAGUUGAUGCUCCCUGUUUUGCCUAGUGAUCAUUAUGGAUUGCUCUUAACUAUCAUGAAACUGUGGUCGAGGUUGUAUAAUUUGUCGCUAGAUUCUUUAGAGGAAACCAGAUUAAGACAGUGUUUUGCUCUCCUUCUUUAUCGGACUCGGGCACUUACAUGGUAUGAUCCGAAGAUUUAGCCCAUUUUCUCGAUCGGACGGUUGAUAUAGAGUAACUUGUGGAGCAAAGGUAUAAAACAGAUCCACUCCCGUCCAUUGAUAUCCGAGUAGGCUAAUCUCUGUUCAGUGUUUUUUCCUGUACUUUUCUGUAUAUCACAGUCGAGCUUGAGAUUGAAAGAAGAGAGAGGGGGAGAGAAUGGUGGGUGCAUUCUUGGGGCAAGGAUAAUGGAGAUAGUGAAAAAGCAUGAAUCAGGAGGACUCAUUUGGAAGAUAAUUAAGCUCACAACUGCAAGAAAAGUCAAUGCCAAGAAGAGACUUCUCAGAAUUUGGCAGUCCGGGAGGUAGUAAGAAAGAAGCCAAGACAGCAGGUAAGGCGUUUGAUGCAAGAUAGACUCGUAUGACAAUCUCAAAGAACAUAAACAUGGGAAGUGGGACCUUGUCCGUGAUUAAGUAGGCACAUUUUGGUUCAUGUUGCGUAUAAGAAUUACAUGCUGCUAGACGUGUAAUCAGUAGACUCUGUGCAGCAUGUAUAUGUACCAUAACUACAUGGUUAAGCGCAUGGUUUGCCUUUUUAACCCUUGAAGGAGUACCUUUUUCUAUUUCAGAACUUAGUAUUGGAUGCGUUGUAGAGGUUCUCACUUCUAUGUAGAUUCAAGGAGAUAAACUCAGUCCUUGUUUUUGUAUAUAUUUCGAGAUUUGCAUUAUUCUUCUGCAGAACGAGGCUGUGUUGAAGGCCUGUGCUGCACGAUUCCUUCAGAAACUCCAGUGGGUGGUGUGUCCACGGUGUAGAUAAUGUGGAUUGUCAGUCAACUUAACAAACUAAUGAAGGGAGAAACCUAGGUGAGCCUGAUGUUGCAACAUGGUGCUUCCAGCUUAAAUGUGUAUUUCUUGCAGCAACUUCACCUUAAAAUCUAGGUUAGCUUGAUUUUAUAACUCAGUGUGUUGAUUUUGCAUCGUAUAAAUGUGAAAUUUGUGUUAAUGCUGUGCCAUGGUUUAGCAUUAGGGAGAAUGUACUUUUUGCUUUUUGAACAUACUCCUGCUUUAACACUGUAUUAACCUUGGUUAUUAUUGAGUGCAUCGAUAGA